rnacentral:rRNA from 1 species
GAUGAACGCUGGCGGCGUGCCUAAUACAUGCAAGUCGAGCGAACAGACGAGGAGCUUGCUCCUCUGACGUUAGCGGCGGACGGGUGAGUAACACGUGGAUAACCUACCUAUAAGACUGGGAUAACUACGGGAAACCGGAGCUAAUACCGGAUAAUAUAUUGAACCGCAUGGUUCAAUAGUGAAAGACGGUUUUGCUGUCACUUAUAGAUGGAUCCGCGCCGCAUUAGCUAGUUGGUAAGGUAACGGCUUACCAAGGCAACGAUGCGUAGCCGACCUGAGAGGGUGAUCGGCCACACUGGAACUGAGACACGGUCCAGACUCCUACGGGAGGCAGCAGUAGGGAAUCUUCCGCAAUGGGCGAAAGCCUGACGGAGCCACGCCGCGUGAGUGAUGAAGGUCUUCGGAUCGUAAAACUCUGUUAUUAGGGAAGAACAACUGUGUAAGUAACUAUGCACGUCUUGACGGUACCUAAUCAGAAAGCCACGGCUAACUACGUG